GAUGAAGAACGUAGCGAAAUGCGAUACUUGGUGUGAAUUGCAGAAUCCCGUGAACCAUCGAGUCUUUGAACGCAAGUUGCGCCCGAAGCCACUAGGCCGAGGGCACGCCUGCCUGGGCGUCACACGUCGUUGCCCCCCCAUCUACUCCUUCGGGAUUGCGGGGGGGCGGAUGAUGGCCUCCCGUGCGCCUAGCCGCGCGGUUGGCAUAAAUACCAAGUCCUCGGCGACGCACGCCACGACAAUCGGUGGUUGCGAAACCUCGGUUGCCCGUCGUGUGCGUUCGUCGCGCAUCGAGGGCUCGAAAAAAUGCUCGGCUCCGGCUGGGCUUUCAACGCGACCCCAGGUCAGGCGGGGUUACCCGCUGAAUUUAAGCAUAUCAAUAAGCGGAGGA
rnacentral:misc_RNA from 1 species